rnacentral:rRNA from 1 species
UACGGAGGGUGCGAGCGUUGUCCGGAAUCACUGGGCGUAAGGGGCGCGUAGGCGGCCCGGUAAGUAGGGGGUGAAAUCUUGCGGCUUAACCGCAAGGCUGCCUUCUAAACUGCCAGGCUCGAGCACAGUAGAGGCAGGUGGAAUUCCCGGUGUAGCGGUGGAAUGCGUAGAGAUCGGGAAGAACAUCGGUGGCGAAGGCGGCCUGCUGGGCUGUUGCUGACGCUGAGGCGCGACAGCGUGGGGAGCAAACAGG